rnacentral:rRNA from 1 species
GAUGAACGCUAGCGGCAGGCCUAAUACAUGCAAGUCGAACGGGUGGUCGCAAGACCACUAGUGGCGCACGGGUGCGUAACGCGUAACCAACCUGCCCCGAUCUGGGGGAUAGCCCGCCGAAAGGCGGAUUAAUACCGCAUAUACCCGCAGCCUGGCAUCAGGCAACGGGGAAAGAUUUAUUGGAUCGGGAUGGGGUUGCGUGACAUUAGCUAGUUGGCGGGGUAAGGGCCCACCAAGGCGACGAUGUCUAGGGGACCUGAGAGGGUGAUCCCCCACACUGGCACUGAGAUACGGGCCAGACUCCUACGGGAGGCAGCAGUAGGGAAUAUUGGGCCAUGGGCGAGAGCCUGACCCAGCCAUGCCGCGUGCCGGAUGAAGGCCUUCUGGGUUGUAAACGGCUUUUCUCAGGGAAGAAAAAGACCUUGCGAGGUACACUGACGGUACCUGAGGAAUAAGCACCGGCUAACUCCGUG